CCCUAGCUGGUUUGGCUCAGUGGAUAGAGCAUCGGCCUGUGGACUGAAGGGUUCUGGUUUUGAUUCUAGUCAAGUGCACAUGCCCAGGUUGUGGUCUCCA